rnacentral:misc_RNA from 1 species
UGGCUCUCGCAUCGAUGAAGAACGCAGCGAACUGCGAUAAGUAAUGUGAAUUGCAGAAUUCAGUGAAUCAUCGAAUCUUUGAACGCAUCUUGCGCCCCUCGGCAUUCCGAGGGGCAUGCCUGUUUGAGUGUCGCGUUAACCCUCACCCCUCCCUGACAUUCGUGUUGGGGUCGCGGUGGACUUGGACCGUGCUGCAGCAAUGCGGCUCGUCUUUAAAUGCAUCGGCCCGACCCUUGUGUGCCCUCGGCUCGAAAGGUGUGAUAAUGUCAUCGCCGGAAGAGUCUGUGGGACGGUCGCGGCCUCGUCGCCCUUCGCGGGGCAAAAUUUACCUUGCGCUUUGACCUCAAAUCAGGUAGGACUACCCGCUGA